UACCAGUCUCUAAAGAAAGGAACAAGACAUCCUGGCAGAUACUGUGGAUUCUAGGGCUGGGCAGGGCAUAUAGAAGAAGAGCCUGGCAUGUCUCAUAGUGCCAGAAUUGGACAUUUUCCCUACUAUGAAGCACAAGCAAGCAAAAUUGUGUUUUCAACAGGCAAUGUCUGUGCAUUGCCUCUUGUUGAGGGCACCCCAAAGUACGUUGAACCAGCAGAGGGAAGAUGUCAGGGAAAGGCCGUGUCCUGGUGGAGGAUGAGGUGGGUGACCCCAGAUGUCAGAGGACAGGAGGCAGAGCAGAUCCACCAAACCUGCUGAGAGGGACCACCCAUUCUGCCCUGCUGUCUCCUGCAGCCAGGGCCAGAUGGCAGAGGCUGUGCUUUCUUCCUCUGGAACAGAGCUGGGACCAGCGAGGUGAAGGGUCUCACUGAGGUCAUUCAACUACAAAAUGCCAGAGCAGGAGUGGAGGCCAAGUCCCCAGGCUCCAAUUCAUGACCUCAAGGUGAAAAGAUCUCCCGAGA
rnacentral:lncRNA from 10 species